ensembl:lncRNA
UGGGGUAGCUGGGGACAAUUUGUUCAACCCCAAACUCCUCUCGGCUGCACGUGCACGCCAGUAUCAGGGAGCCUCAGAAGCACUGCAGCCACAGCCCUGCUGCUGCCGUGGCCAUACCUGAGAUGUGUGCUAGGCGUGGGGCUCCAGGGCCAUCACCAUUUCCUUGAUCCACACCUGAGGAGCAGCAGAACCACAGCCCUGCAGCUUCUUUGCAUGCCUUCUGUGGGACACGGUAGGUCAGCACACAAAGCCACGCUCUGUCUUCUCUACUGCUCUCAUCGAGGCUGUUAAUUAAGCAUAGGAGCCACCUGAUCGUCUCUAACCUCUGCUCAUUCCUAGUGCUGGAUGCAGUGGAAUUGCAACCGCUGUUGGUGUGUUGGGGUCUGAUGCAGUGGGGUCACCUCAGCCCCCUCUGAGCAGACUGCAGCGCUGAGGAAGCAGUACUGAUACUUAAGUGCUUCUGAUUGAUUUUUGUGUGGCUGCAUGGCUCUCUGCCAGCGUCUGCAGCCUGGAGUGGGUUUGCACUGGAAGAUACAGAUAGAAGAACCUCCUGUGCAUAACAAACUGCCUGUUUCCUACAUGUGAUUUACAGCAGAUGUAGAUGAACGGCCCUGACAGACUGCAGCGUUUGCUAUGGGGCACAUCCAGAGCAGUCCAGAGAGGUGCUGGAAGUGGAAAGGCAGAAAAGCACUGUGUGCUCCUGAGCAUGGAUGCAGGUGGAUCCGAGGUGCCAUGAGAGCUUGUUCAUGCAUUCCCCUUUUGCUUUCAGUCUCACACACCUCCACAUGGGGAUGUUGUAGCAUUCAGGAACUGAAGUCAGCAGCAGAGGAAUGCUUGAAGGCUCUGUGCACAGAGCAGAUUGGUGAGAGCAAAGCUUCCCAGGCAGAGCCCCGGCCACGUCUCUCUGGGCUCAAGUUUCCCUCUCUGGGUCACUGGGGGCUGAUUGCUGUCUCUUGUGGCUUCCCACCAGCAGCUGCAGGGCCAGCAUGAAAGGUGGGGUAAGCCAGCACGCAGGGCACUGAAGGGCCUGACUUGUUCUGAUGCUGAAAGCAGCGGAAACAGCUCAGUGUACGCGUGGUUUCACACUGCUGCUUACACUCACUGACAUUCCCAGGCAUGUGCAGACUGAUCCCGGGGUCCAUAGCAGUGAGUCCAAGGUGUGUAGGUGAUGGCCUCUGUGUCAACGUACAGAUGGAGCGAGCAGCAGAGCUAUCAGCCUGGCCGUGUUGUUCUCAGUGUGUGAGGGAUGUCGGGUCAGUCUGUUUGCUCCGUUAAAUCAAAUUAGCGGAAUGCAGGAGGCCAGCUGUGCAUGCAGAUGACCGCAUGCCCAGCACCAUCACUCUGCAGCCACCUCACAUGCUGCAGUCGCUGCUGAACACAGCAAAGAGGCACCCAAAGCAGGAGGGACAGCAGCAGAUGUAGCAUUUCUAACUCCACGUCUCACUGAAUUCCCCUCACCUUGCAGGUUAACAUCUGUUGUCUGCACCUCCAUGGCUCUCUGUAGCAGCGAUAGCAAAGUUAGCAGCAUAAAAAAGCCACAUUUAAGGAGCAGCCGAGGAGUGAGAUGAGUUGUUUAUGAUUAAAUUAAAUUCAUAUGCAAG